rnacentral:rRNA from 1 species
UACGGAGGAUGCAAGCGUUAUCCGGAUUCACUGGGUUUAAAGGGUGCGUAGGCGGGAUAGUAAGUCAGUGGUGAAAUCCUGCGGCUUAACCGUAGAACUGCCAUUGAUACUGCUAUUCUUGAGUGCAGUUGAGGUGGGUGGAAUGUGUAAUGUAGCGGUGAAAUGCUUAGAUAUUACACAGAACACCAAUUGCGAAGGCAGCUCACUAAGCUGUAACUGACGCUGAGGCACGAAAGCGUGGGGAUCAAACAGG